CCUACGGGUGGCAGCAGUAAAGAAUCUUCCACAAUGGACGAAAGUCUGAUGGAGCGACACCGCGUGCAGGAUGAAGGCCUUCUGGUUGUAAACUUCUUUUCUGGGGGAAUAAUUCUUAAGGUCCCCUAGGAAUAAGCACCUGCUAAUUACGUGCCCGCAGCCUCGGUCAUACGUAAGGUGCAAACGUUACCCGGAAUCAUUGGGCGUAAAGCGUCCGCAGGCGGCCUGAUAAGUCGGAUAUUAAAUCUCAGGGCUCAACUCUGAGGCCGUAUCUGAAACUGUCUCGCUAGAGUAAUGGAGAGGUGAGUGGAAUGCUACAUGUAGGGGUAAAAUCCGUAGAUAUGUAGAGGAACACCAAAAGCGAAGGCAGCUCACUGGCCAAUUACUGACGCUCAUGGACGAAAGCGUGGGGAGCGAACAGGAUUAGAUACCCGGGUAGUC
rnacentral:rRNA from 1 species